rnacentral:rRNA from 1 species
UACGUAGGCAGCAACGUUGUUCGGAAUUACUGGGCGUAAAGAGUGUGUAGGCGGUGCUCCAAGUCUGGUGUGAAAUCUCCCGGCUCAACUGGGAGGGUGCAUUAGAAACUGGAAUGCUAGAGGAUGGGAGAGGUAAGCGGAAUUCCUGGUGUAGCGGUGAAAUGCGUAGAUAUCAGGAGGAACACCUGUGGUGUAGACAGCUUACUGGACCAUUUCUGACGCUGAGACACGAAAGCGUGGGUAGCAAACAGG